AUUGAACGCUGGCGGCAGGCUUAACACAUGCAAGUCGAGCGGGGUGAUGGUGCUUGCACUAUCACUUAGCGGCGGACGGGUGAGUAAUGCUUAGGAAUCUGCCUAUUAGUGGGGGACAACAUCUCGAAAGGGAUGCUAAUACCGCAUACGUCCUACGGGAGAAAGCAGGGGAUCACUUGUGACCUUGCGCUAAUAGAUGAGCCUAAGUCGGAUUAGCUCGUUGGUGGGGUAAAGGCCUACCAAGGCGACGAUCUGUAGCGGGUCUGAGAGGAUGAACCGCCGCACUGGGACUGAGACACGGCCCAGAAUCCUACGGGAGGGAGCAGUGGGGAAUAUUGGACAAUGGGGGGAACCCGGAUCCAGCCAUGCCGCGUGUGUGAAGAAGGCCUUAUGGUUGUAAAGCACUUUAAGCGAGGAGGAGGCUCUUUUGGUUAAUACCCAAGAUGAGUGGACGUUACUCGCAGAAUAAGCACCGGCUAACGCUGUGCCAGCCGCCGCCGUAG
rnacentral:rRNA from 1 species